rnacentral:rRNA from 1 species
CCUACGGGUGGCAGCAGUGAGGAAUAUUGGUCAAUGGCCGGAAGGCUGAACCAGCCAUGCCGCGUGAAGGUCAGUGCCCUAUGGACGUUAAACUUCUUUUGUGCGGGAGCAAUAGUGGUCACGUGUGGCCAGACGAGAGUACCGUACGAAUAAGCAUCGGCUAACUCUGUGCCAGCAGCAGCGGUAAUACGGGGGAUGCAAGCGUUAUCCGGAUUUAUUGGGUUUAAAGGGUGCGUAGGCUGGGAGGUAAGUCAGCGGGGAAAUGCCCCCGCUCAACGGGGUGAAGGGUCAUUGAUACUGCCGUGCUGGAAUGCGGAUGCCGUGGGAGGAAUGUGUGGUGUAGCGGUGAAAUGCAUAGAUAUCACACAGAACACCGAUUGCGAAGGCAUCUCACGAAGUCGCGAUUGACGCUGAUGCACGAAAGCGUGGGUAUCAAACAGGAUUAGAUACCCCAGUAGUC